rnacentral:rRNA from 1 species
AGAGUUUGAUCCUGGCUCAGAACGUACGCUGGCGGCACGCCUAAUACAUGCAAGUCGAACGAAGUAGCAAUACUUAGUGGCAGACGGGUGAGUAACAUGUGGUAUCUUCCCUUUGGUGAGGAAUAACACGAGGAAACUUGUGCUAAUACCUCAUAAGUCUUUACAGAGAAAGCUUUAUGCGCCAUUGGAUGAGCCUGCACUUGAUUAGUUUGUUGGUGGGGUAAUGGCUUACCAAGACAACGAUCAAUAGCUGAUUUGAGAGGAUGAUCAGCCACAUUGGGACUGAGACACGGCCCAAACUCCUACGGGAGGCAGCAGUAGGGAAUCUUGCACAAUGGAGGAAACUCUGAUACAGCGAUGCCGCGUGAGUGAAGAAGGCCUUUGGGUUGUAAAGCUCUUUCGUCGGGGAAGAAAAUGACUGUACCCGAAUAAGAAGGUCCGGCUAACUUCGUGCCAGCAGCCGCGGUAAUACGAAGGGACCUAGCGUAGUUCGGAAUUACUGGGCUUAAAUAGUUCGUAGGUGGUUAAAAAAGUUGAUGGUGAAAUCCCAGAGCUUAACUCUGGAACUGCCAUCAAAACUUUUUAGCUAGAGUAUGAUAGAGGAAAGCAGAAUUUCUAGUGUAGAGGUGAAAUUCGUAGAUAUUAGAAAGAAUACCAAUUGCGAAGGCAGCUUUCUGGAUCAUUACUGACGCUGAGGAACGAAAGCAUGGGUAGCGAAGAGGAUUA